AAGAAAACACCAAGGUCAUCUUCAACUGAUGGCUAGCCAGAAGACUCGUUUUAACCAUCUAACCCUCCAAGAUCCUCGAAGAUAUUAAUAUUUUAAUGAACAGUACAUGGACAUAUUUGCCUCCGUCUCCAACUGACACACCCCGAUCCGGAGGAUCCAGGUGUGCUGGCCGUCACGUGAGCGUGACGUAACCAUAAGUGCGACACGGAAGCGAAAUAACAACAUAAAUCAGUAGAAAUUCAAACCAAACUCAAACAUAACCACCUACGAACAUAACCGGCCGAGUUAUAAAGUAAACACAUAAGUUCAGAGCAUAGGUUAACUGCAGUCAAGUAGGACUAAAAUAAAAUACAUCACCCUCAGGUGAGUCCUACAUGUCGAGAGUCUGUCAGAAAGCCGGAAAAGACCUCGAGAGCCACCAACCGCUAAAUUAGAACCUGGAGGGGCGCAAAACAAAAUGAGUGGGUCAAUAAAACCAAAGAUUUUCCAAAACACUUCAUUUAAAACAUUUCUAACCCCUCACCGUAAAACCUGUAUACUUUCCCAGAAAAAAAAAAUAUAUAUAAAACCAUAUGAAAUCUCAAACUUAAAUCCCAAAUCUUUAACAUUUUUCAAGAAAAACAUGUCAUGCCAUAAAUCAAAAUAUAAAAAUCAGGUGAAAUAAGGAAUCAAUCGGAGACCCUGCAGUUGGUCCUAUACGAUUAAUUCAAUAGCUCAAUAUCCCACUAAGCCGGAGUCACCACAGUGACCUAUACGGCCCUACUCUGCACAUCACUCGGAACUACGUAAGGUGGUCUAUACGAUGAAAGGUGUAAAAAUACGCUCUAGUGCUUCUCUCAUCAUAUCAUCAGCGCGCAUAACAAGGUCACCCACUAGUCGGAAUCACGCCUAGUGAUCUAUACGACUAGCAUGUCGGAACCCUCACACGGUCUGUACGACAUCCACCUACUUGGAUCCAAGACGAGCGUGCGGUGUGGUGAAUAAUAUAAGCACUAACACCUAGGGUGCAGGUUAUGAGCUCAAAACAUCUCAACAACAACCAAUUCAAUGAAUAAAUGAACUCACCUGACUUACAUGUGCCUCCACUGCACCAUGCAACAUGUAUGCAUCAUAAAUCAAUCAUAUAACUCAUAUGCAAUUCACAUUUUUCAAAUAAUUCUAUGCAUGGCAUUUUCUAAAACAUAUUUUCACAUAAAUUCAUUUUCUGGGAAAAAUCAAUAGUAUAAAGGUAAUACGAAAACAAAACUGCCCACUCACUGAUAAGUCGACGGGUCGUAACCCCCGUGGCGUCCCUUGAUGUGGUCGUCCUCGGAAUACGUCUCACCUAUAUGCGAAACAACUAUAAAAACGUUAAUUUUUAAAACACAUCACCAAUAUUUCGAAAUAACUUCUUAUACGAUGCUCAAUUUGGGUAUAUGAAUAUACCACAUCGACCUACUCGACGUCACGAGCGUCGGGAAAUUUUUAGAAAAAAAUUUGGAGGGCUCACGUGCCCCCACGCGCCGCACGUGGUACGGGCCUACGUGCCCCCCACGCGCCCCUCUUCUUCUUUGGGUCGCCAAACUGGUUUUUCCGGCGACCGGAUUCCGGCCAAUUUUAAAACCUCUUGUUCUCCUUCGUUUUUCACCUAUUUUCUUCGUAUUUUAUAUCAAAUUGAAGCCCCAAACAUGUAGAAUCACGUUGGACUAGUUUUAGGGCCUAAAAUCAAGAAAUAUCACCGGGAAAAUUCCAAGAAUUCGGCCAACUUUGAAACCCACGAUCCCGACGUCCAAAACUCUCCAACGAACGUCCCCGAGCUUCCUUAGGACCUCCUAAAGCUCACUACAAGCUUAGAAUUCCCUGAAACACGACAUUUAACGUGUGCAUGAACAGUAACUCAAAAAUGGGGAUUCAGGUUCUACGCAAUUUCGAAGGUUUCACUUCCUAAAACUAGCACCAAUGAACUUAGAACGUCGAAAGGAUGAAGAUGCAUACCUUGGUUGCCUCGAUCCGUCGAGUUUUGGAGGAUUUGGGGUGAGAGCCGUACGUUUUGGGUGUGUGUGUGCGAGAGAGACGGUGAGGGAGAGAGACAGAGAACCACGGGUUGGGAGAAAGAGAGAGAGAGAGCAGGAGGGUUGUGAUGUCCCCAAAAACAAUCUCAACCAUCCAUUUUUCUAAUUUCCUAAACAACUUAAUCAAAAUCAAAUCAAUAAACCAAUUCACAUAAAUAUUUUCUUUUACCCUUACAUAAUCUUUGAACCAAUAACAUCACACACACACGUACCUUAGUAACGUCAAGGGCAUUUCCGUCAUUUCACAUCCCCGUCAAAAGUACCUCCAGGACGGGCUGUGACAAUCUUCCCUCCUUAGAGAAUUUCGUCCCCGAAAUUCCCAUAACCAAUUAAACCAUUUAAUACUCGUAGAAUAAUCUUGGGUACAUCUCUCUCAUCCGAUCUUCCGUCUCCCAGGUAGCUUCCUCAACAGAAUGGUUCCUCCACAACACCUUCACCAAACUCACCGUCUUGUUCCUUAGAACCUUAUCUUUCCAAUCCAAUAUCAUGAUUGGUUCCUCAUCAUAAGUCAAGUCCGGAUUAAUCUCUAGCGGUUGAGGAGGAAUCACAUGAGAAGGAUCAGAAAUAUAAUGUCGAAGCAUAGAGACGUGAAACACAUUAUGGACCUUAGAUAACUCCGGAGGCAGCUCCAACCUGUAGGCAACUUCACCAACUCUUUCGAUGAUCACAUAAGGUCCAAUGUAUCUCGGACUUAGCUUCCCUCUUUUUCCAAAUCGCACCACACCUCUCCAAGGUGACGAUUUCAAAAAUACCCAAUUACCCACAUCAUACACUCGAUCAGUAGUAUGCUGAUCCGCUAAACUCUUCUGUCGAUCCUGGGCUGCUUUCAGGUUUGACUUAAUUAUCUGAACAUUUUGAGUUGUCUCUUCUAUAAUCUCAGGGCCUUCUAACACUCUUUCACCAACCUCAGACCAACAUAAUGGCGUUCGACACGCCCUACCAUAAAGUGCCUCAAAUGGUGACAUACCAAUGCUCGAGUGAAAACUGUUAUUAUAAGCAAACUCCAUCAAAUCCAGGCGAUCAUGCCAGGAGUCACUAAAUUGUAAUACUGAAGAUCUCAACAUGUCCUCCAACGUCUGAAUAGUCCUCUCUGAUUACCCAUCAGUUUGAGGAUGAUAAGCUGUGCUAUAAAGCAAUUGUGUACCCAGAGCUUCCUGAAAAGCCACCCAGAAUUUAGAAGUAAAUCUUGGGUCUCGGUCAGAGAUAAUAUUUACUGGAACUCCAUGAUACUUUACAAUCUUUGAAAUAAACAACUUAGCCAAUUUAUUCAGAGGGUAUUUCUCCCUAACUGGAAUGAAAUGCGCUGAUUUGGUAAGUCGAUCUACAAUCACCCAAAUACCAUCAAAUCAAUUUCGUGUACGAGGAAGUUUAUACACGAAGUCCAUGGUUAUAUUUUCCCAUUUCCACUGGGGAACGGGAAGUGGCUGCAUUCGCCCAAAUGGUUUCUUUCUUUAUGCUUUCACUUGCUGGCAAAUAAUACAUCUACUCACAUAUUCUGCAAUUUCUCUUUUCAUACCCGGCCAAUAAUAAAAUGGUCGAAUGGUAUGAUACAUUUUAGUUCCUCUCGGGUGCAUCGCAUAAGCUGAACAAUGCGCUUCAUCCAGAAUUUCCUUCUUCAAUUCUUCAUUAUUCGGAACAUACAUUCUGUUUUCUUGCAUGAGCAUACCAUCCGAUUCCUGAAUUCUGAGGUCUUUCUUUUUCCCUUCAAUUCUUAACUGAACCAACUCCUGAAUCUCCUCAUCCACCAUCUGAGUUGCGAGUAUACGGUCCACCAAAACUGGCCUGACUUGAAAACUAGCAAGAAAAGCUCCGCUUAUGUUUUCAAACUCCAACCUUACUCCCGUUGUCCUCAAUUCAGCAAGAAGAGGGACACGACUAGCAUAUAAGGCAUUAAGCCUGCCUUGAGGUUUCCUACUCAGAGCAUCCGCUACCACAUUAGCACGACCUGGAUGAUAUUCAAUAGUACAAUCAUAAUCACUUAGCAAUUCCAUCCACCUUCGCUGACGAAGAUUAAGAUCAUGCUGGGUAAACAGAUACUGAAGACUCUUGUGAUCAGUGAAGAUCUUACACUUCUCACCAUACAAAUAAUGCCUCCAAAUCUUUAAAGCAAAAACAAUUGCUGCCAAUUCAAGAUCGUGAGUAGGAUAGUUCUUUUCAUGAUUUUUCAACUGCCUAGAAGCAUAGGCAAUCACCUUAUUAUGCUGCAUCAAAACACAUCCCAAACCAUUUAAGGAAGCAUCACUAUAAAUUUCGAAAUUACCGCUAUCAUCAGGAAGUACUAACACUGGAGCAUGAGUGAGGCAAUAUUUCAAUUGUUGGAAACUCCGCUCACAAUUUUCAUCCCACUCAAAUUUAACAUCCUUCCUGGUCAACUUUGUUAACGGUAAAGCAAUCAUAGAGAAAUCCUGAACGAACCGUCGAUAAUAACCUGCUAAACCAAGAAAACUGCGUACCUCAGUGACCGUUCGAGGUUGCUCCCAAUUCUCCACCGCUGCUAUCUUUUGAGGAUCAACUUGAAUUCCUUGAGCCGAUACAACAUGCCCCAAAAAUGCCACUUCAGUCAACCAAAUUGACAUUUACUGAACUUGGCAUACAACUGAUGCUCCCUCAAUUUCCUUAACACCAAAUUAAGGUGUCGAAUAUGAUCUGCUUGAGAUUUAGAGUAUACCAGAAUAUCAUCAAUAAAAACAAUAACAAAUUUAUCAAGAUAUUGCUGGAAUACCUCAUUCAUCAAUCUCAUAAAAGCUGCAGGUGCAUUAGUCAACCCAAACGGCAUAACCAGAAAUUCAUAAUGUCCGUACCGAGUCCGGAAAGCUGUCUUAGGUACAUCAUCUUCUUUAAUCUUCAACUGAUAAUACCCAGAUCUCAAAUCAAUCUUAGAAAAAUACACACGCACCUUUCAGUUGAUCAAACAAAUCAUCAAUGCGAGGCAAUGGAUAACGGUUUUUAAUCGUUACCCUGUUCAAUUGUCUAUAAUCAAUACACAAUCACAGAGUUCCAUCCUUCUUCCUCACAAAUAAUACUGGGGCACCCCAAGGUGAAGAACUAGGUUGAAUAAAACCUUUAUCAAGUAAUUCUUGCAACUGGAUUUUUAAUUCUCUUAACUCAGCAGGAGCCAUUCUAUAAGGAGUUAGAGAUAUAGGAUCAGUACCUGGAAGUAAAUCAAUGGCGAAUUCCACCUCUCUCUCUGGUGGUAACCCCGGCAAAUCAUCAGGGAAUACAUCCGGAUAAUGUCUGACCACGUCAACUUCUUCUAUACUAGUAGAAACCACAUCAUUUAAUACCACAUGUGCUAAAUAUCCCUGACAACCCUUCGAUAAUAAUUUCCUCGCCCUUAUGGCAUAAAUAACACCAUGUCUCACCCCACUUCUCUCUCGCCCACAAAAGUAACCUCGGGUAGUCCAGGACGAUAAAAAGUAACUGAUUUACCAUAACAAUCAAUAUGGGCACGAUUAUAAUGCAACCAAUCAUCCCCUAAAAUCACAUCAAAAUCCACAAUGUCUAACGGAAUAAGAUCAGCUGACAUAAUCACGCCCUUAACCAUCACUGGACACCCAAGAUACACAUUAUCAACAUAACAUUUAUCUCAUCUAGGCAUGGCAAACUCUAAAUCAAAUCCUAGAGGUGAAGGGUGAGGUUGUGUCAUUUGAGCAAACGUAUGAGAAAUCACAGAGUGCGUAGCACCACAAUCAAUCAAAAUCUUAGCAAAAUGACCAAGAACAUUCAACGUACCCAUGAUCAAGUCUGGAUGGUUAUGAGCCUCCUGCAGUGAAAUAUGAUUAACUCGUCCCUGAACCUGCUGUCAUCCACCUCGACCUCUACUGCCCUGAUUACCUCGUCCCUGAGGAUUACGCCCCUGGCCUGGCUGACUAGGCUGCCUGGAUGAUCCUACACCACCAGUAGUAACUUCCCCCUGACGGGGCUGGCCUCCCUGAUGCCACUGCGAUCCACCAGCUGGCAUAGAGGGAUAAGAUGAAUAACCUCCAAAAUCCUGAGAAUACCCAGCCUGAGAAUGAGGCUCCUGGGAAUACUGAUAAGGUCCGGGAGCAUACGGAGCAGCAUCCCCCUGGUAGUGGUAGGCACCACCACGACUCGGCUGGCCAUAACCGCCUGAUCCAAAACUCUGCUGGACCAGCGCUGGAGGUGGCAUAGUGGUCUGAUGUGGUCUCUGCUGACCCUGGGGACACUGAGAAGCCCAAUGUCCCAUUUUCCCACAAGUAAAGCAAGCACCACAACCUCUCCUACACUCACCAUGGUGACGAAAGUUACAACGACGGCACCACGGAGCGCCAGAACCACCUGCACCACCAGAAUCCCUUUGUCCCUGAAAUCUGGGUCCACCAGAAAAUCUUCCACCUCCUCUCCUCGGGCCAGUAAAACUAUAUCCCCCACUAGAAGAACUCGAACUCGUUCCACUCUUCUUAAAAUUCUGUGUCUGUCGAGGUCCCGGAAUGGAGAUACCCUUACCUUUAUCAUUCUUCUUCUGACCCUCAUUCUUGUCCUCGUCAUCCUCACUGUCAGGAAGAUUGUCAGAGUCCUCCAUCCUAACCAAAAUCUCGAAAUACUCAUGAUAAUCGGUGCAGGGAAGUGCAUUGGCAAAGGUACGCCACUUCUUCUUAGAUCCCAACUUAAAACGUCGAAGCAUCUCUCCCUGAUUACCAGCUGUAUCAGGGUCAUAACGAGACAAAUCAGUAAACUUUCUAUAAUAUUCAUGCGCCGACAUAUUUCUCUGUGUUUCAACCUGGUGAAUUCUUGCUUCUUACGAUCAAUAUACUCUGGAGGGACGAAUCUCUUCAUAAAAUUCUCUUUUGAACACUUUCCAGUCGGCUGCCAUCUCAGGUGACAUGUACCUAGUCUGAUUCAUCCACCAAGCUGCUGGUUCUCGACGACCCAAAAACCAAGUGGUGGUCUCCACCCACCUAUUAGCAGGGAGAUUCCCCUGACUCUGCAUCACCUGGAAGGUCUUCUCAAUAUGAUCUAGCCAUUUCUCUGCCCCCUCAUGACUUUCAUUACCCAUAAAACGAUCUAACUUCAAGUUGUACAUGGUCUCCAGAGGUGUCCUCGGAGGAGGGGGGGACGAAUCACGUUCUGCAAAGCCUGGGCCAUCGCUUCCCCUAACUGAGUGAUAUCCGGGAAAUUAGGUUCAGAAGUACGGCGGGACUCCCUACGCUCUCUACGAGGCGGCAUGAUUCUGACAGAAAACAUCAAAAGAUCGUUAAGACAUUAACAAAUUUACAGGACUGCAACCUAAGCUCUGAUACCAAACUGACACACCCCGAUCCGGAGGAUCCAGGUGUGCUGGCCGUCACGUGAGCGUGACGUAACCAUAAGUGCGACACGGAAGCGAAAAUAACAACAUAAAUCAGUAGAAAUUCAAACCAAACUCAAACAUAACCACCUACGAACAUAACCGGCUGAGUUAUAAAGUAAACACAUAAGUUCAGAGCAUAGGUUAACUGCAGUCAAGUAGGACUAAAAUAAAAUACAUCACCUUCAGGUGAGUCCUACAUGUCGAGAGUCUGUCAGAAAGCCGGAAAAGACCUCGAGAGCCACCAACCGCUAAAUUAGA
rnacentral:lncRNA from 1 species